rnacentral:rRNA from 1 species
ACGUGAUCUGAGUUCAGACCGGAGUAAUCCAGGUCAGUUUCUAUCUAUAAGGAGUUUCUUCUAGUACGAAAGGACCGAAAAAACAUGGCCUAUACUUCACGCAAGCCAUAAUUACUGACUUAUGAUUAAAUCUUAAUAAAUGCUUAAUCCAUUAUUAAACUCAAAAAAAGAGUA